rnacentral:rRNA from 1 species
CCUACGGGAGGCUGCAGUGAGGAAUAUUGGUCAAUGGGCGCGAGCCUGAACCAGCCAAGUAGCGUGAAGGAUGACUGCCCUACGGGUUGUAAACUUCGGUUAUAAAGGAAUAAAGUGAGGCACGUGUGCCUUUUUGUAUGUACUUUAUGAAUAAGGAUCGGCUAACUCCGUGCCAGCAGCCGCGGUAAUACGGAGGAUCCGAGCGUUAUCCGGAUUUAUUGGGUUUAAAGGGAGCGUAGAUGGGUUGUUAAGUCAGUUGUGAAAGUUUGCGGCUCAACCGGAAAAUUGCACUUGAUACUGGCAGCCUUGAUUACAGUUGCGGUAGGCGUAAUUCGUGUUGUAGCGGUGAAAUGCUUAGAUAUCACG